CCACAUGACCAAGAGUCCUGAAUGUUGCACUCAACAAUAAGAUUUUCCAUUUCUCUUCUACGUUGUCUGGAAGGGGUUGAUAGAUGUAAUAAGCCAGCAGCAAUGUCACCAGUCCAAAGCAGAGUAAUUUGGAUGCCAUGUCUAAAUGCUCACUAAACGACUAAAGUGAUUAAGCACCUUCUCAUAAACUGUGACAAGUCAGCAGCAGACACUGAUAGGGGAAAGUUAAUCUGCUGGACCUAAGCUCCUGUGUAUCUGAUCAUCAGAAGCAGUGCACACAGCCUGCUUGCAACAGCCAGUUAGAAG